UUGGAGGGCAAGUCUGGUGCCAGCAGCCGCGGUAAUUCCAGCUCCAAUAGCGUAUAUUAAAGUUGUUGCAGUUAAAAAGCUCGUAGUUGAAUUUCGGGAUCAUCAGGUUGGUCGUGCCUCUGGUAUGUACUUUCCUCGAUGGUUCCUCCUUCUUGAAGAACCGUAAUGCCAUUAAUUUGGUGUUGCGGGGAAUCAGGACUGUUACUUUGAAGAAAUUAGAGUGUUUAAAGCAGGCAAUCGCUUGAAUACAUUAGCAUGGAAUAAUGAAAUAGGACGUUCGAUCCUAUUUUGUUGGUUUCUAGGAUUGACGUAAUGAUUAAUAGGGAUAGUUGGGGGCAUUAGUAUUCAAUUGUCAGAGGUGAAAUUCUUGGAUUUAUUGAAGACUAACUACUGCGAAAGCAUUUGCCAAGGAUGUUUUCAUUAAUCAAGAACGAAAGUUAGGGGAUCGAAGACGAUCAGAUACCGUCGUAGUCUUAACCAUAAACUAUGCCGACUAGGGAUCGGAUGAUGUUAAUUUUUUAAUGACUCAUUCGGCGCCUUACGGGAAA
rnacentral:rRNA from 1 species